GCAGCGGGAAGUAGCUUGCUACUUUUGCCGGCGAGCGGCGGACGGGUGAGUAAUGCCUGGGGAUCUGCCCAGUCGAGGGGGAUAACAGUUGGAAACGACUGCUAAUACCGCAUACGCCCUACGGGGGAAAGGAGGGGACCUUCGGGCCUUUCGCGAUUGGAUGAACCCAGGUGGGAUUAGCUAGUUGGUGGGGUAAUGGCUCACCAAGGCGACGAUCCCUAGCUGGUCUGAGAGGAUGAUCAGCCACACUGGAACUGAGACACGGUCCAGACUCCUACGGGAGGCAGCA
rnacentral:rRNA from 1 species